UACGUAGGGUGCAAGCGUUGUCCGGAAUUAUUGGGCGUAAAGAGCUCGUAGGCGGUUUGUCGCGUCGAAUGUGAAAACCCGGGGCUCAACCCCGGGCCUGCAUUCGAUACGGGCAGACUAGAGUUCGGUAGGGGAGUCUGGAAUUCCUGGUGUAGCGGUGAAAUGCGCAGAUAUCGGAAGGAACACCGGUGGCGAAAGCGGCGCGCUGGAUCCCUACUGACGCUGAGGCACGAAAGCCAGGGGAGCAAACGGG
rnacentral:rRNA from 1 species